ACAGCCCCCAGUGGUGAUUUGCCGACCGGCUUGCAGCCACUUUAAAGAAGUCGCUAAAGGGUCGAGGAAACAGGCAA
rfam:Rhizobium sp. Root564 contig_11, whole genome shotgun sequence.